rnacentral:misc_RNA from 1 species
AACUUUUGACAAUGGAUCACUUGGCUCUCGCAUCGAUGAAGAACACAGCGAGAUGCGAUAAGUAAUGUGAAUUGCAGAAUUAAGUGAAUCAUCGAAUUUGUGAACGCACCUUGCGCUCCUUGGUAUUCCGGGGAGCACGCCUGUUCGAGUGUCGUGCAAGUCUCAAACUGAGCUGCUUUUUUGUUUAUCGGCUUGGUGUUGGGCUUUGCAGUCCCCUUUGAUUGGGAUGGCUGGCCUCAAAAGCAUUAGCUGGCUUUUCAUGUGGCAUUGGUUCUACUCAGCGUGAUAAUGAUCUGACCGCCGAGGACAUCUUUCGAGAUGGCCAAUUCUCAUUUGGGCUGCUUCUAAUCUUGGUCGAGCAGAUUCUGCAUCUGUUCCACUUUUCAACUUUUGACCUUGAAUCAGGUGGGACUACCCGCUGAACUUAAGCAUAUCAAUAAGCGGAGGCU